UACGUAUGGAGCAAGCGUUAUCCGGAUUUACUGGGUGUAAAGGGUGCGUAGGCGGCAGGGCAAGUCAGAUGUGAAAGACCGGGGCUUAACUCCGGGGCUGCAUUUGAAACCGCUUUGCUUGAGUCCGGGAGAGGCAGGCGGAAUUCCUAGUGUAGCGGUGAAAUGCGUAGAUAUUAGGAGGAACACCAGUGGCGAAGGCGGCCUGCUGGACCGGAACUGACGCUGAGGCACGAAAGCGUGGGAGCAAACAGG
rnacentral:rRNA from 1 species